rnacentral:rRNA from 1 species
GAUGAACGCUGGCGGCGUGCCUAAUACAUGCGAGUCGAGCGAACGGACGAGAAGCUUGCUUCUCUGAUGUUAGCGGCGGACGGGUGAGUAACACGUGGAUAACCUACCUAUAAGACUGGGAUAACUUCGGGAAACGGUAGCUAAUACGGAUAAUAUUUUGAACCGCAUGGUUCAAAAGUGAAAGACGGUCUUGCUGUCACUUAUAGAUGGAUCCGCGCUGCAUUAGCUAGUUGGUAAGGUAACGGCUUACCAAGGCAACGAUGCAUAGCCGACCUGAGAGGGUGAUCGGCCACACUGGAACUGAGACACGGUCCAGACUCCUACGGGAGGCAGCAGUAGGGAAUCUUCCGCAAUGGGCGAAAGCCUGACGGAGCAACGCCGCGUGAGUGAUGAAGGUCUUCGGAUCGUAAAACUCUGUUAUUAGGGAAGAACAUAUGUGUAAGUAACUGUGCACAUCUUGACAGUACCUAAUCAGAAAGCCACGGCUAACUACGUG